GACGAACGCUGGCGGCGUGCCUAAUACAUGCAAGUCGAGCGCAGGAAACUGACGGAACUCUUCGGAGGGAAGGCAGUGGAAUGAGCGGCGGACGGGUGAGUAACACGUAAGGAACCUGCCUCAAGGAUUGGGAUAACUCCGAGAAAUCGGAGCUAAUACCGGAUAGUUCAACGGACCGCAUGGUCCGCUGAUGAAAGGCGCUCCGGCGUCCCCUUGAGAUGGCCUUGCGGUGCAUUAGCUAGUUGGUGGGGUAACGGCCCACCAAGGCGACGAUGCAUAGCCGACCUGAGAGGGUGAUCGGCCACACUGGGACUGAGACACGGCCCAGACUCCUACGGGAGGCAGCAGUAGGGAAUCUUCCACAAUGGACGAAAGUCUGAUGGAGCAACGCCGCGUGAGUGAUGAAGGUUUUCGGAUCGUAAAACUCUGUUGUAAGGGAAGAACACGUACGAGAGGAAAUACUCGUACCUUGACGGUACCUUACGAGAAAGCCACGGCUAACUACGUGCCAGCAGCCGCGGUAAGAC
rnacentral:rRNA from 1 species